rnacentral:misc_RNA from 1 species
GAGGAUCUUAAUCAUGUCAACUUACUGCACUACCAUUGACGGACAAUGCAGCACGCGUAAUAGUUAAAUACGUAUAUGCGGUGGGCGAAGACUAAAAAGAGGCUACUAUUAGCUUAUCUCACAUGGCUACCCAACUACGAAUGCCAAGACCAAAACGUGAUAGGAAAGUGAGUUGAAAUCAUCAAUCAUGAAGUAUAGAUCAUGUAUGACACUUCAAUAUUGCAAAUAAUAACACCCUUAUACUGAAUAAUAAACUUUUUCCUUCGAACUCUCCUUUUCUUAUAUUUAAAGCAUAAUUUACCUGAUGACUUAGAAUUUAAAUUAAAAUCUAGAAAGAUGACAAUGACAGAAAAUAAAUUAAUACUAACCCUACCAAAAGGACAUACGAAACUAAUUCUGAACAAUAAUGUGUUGAGAUAUGAUGUAGAUGGUUGGUUGGGAGUUGGUGAUGACCAAGUGAUGGUGUGAAAUGGUCUUGAAAAUGCAUAGGGACAACUGAAAACAACGUAGCAAUGGUGAUGAACAAUAAAUUGGAUCAAUUUUAUUAACUAUUUGUAAAACUAAAAUCUUGCGUUGUUAACGUCGGCAAAAACCAGCUUUUUUGUCAUUCUAAGCAACCUAUAUAUUCAUAUAUAUUGCCUAACAGGAUUGACAUAACUAGCUAGUCUGUUUAACAAUUCCUGUUUUAAUGCGAAGGAUUCACAUGGACUG